GAAUCUCCCAAAGCUUCCACAACCCUUGUUGACUCCGCAUCAGCGAAUGAUUUUAAUGGCGUAUGAUUUAUCAUUCGAGUUCAAGAGUUUAGAAAUGGAUCCAGAGGUUGUGGGCAAGAAAGACAUGAUAGUGACAAUUGAACGGGAAGAUUUGGUUCGACUUCUGUCAAAUAAUCAGCUUACCACACCACACAUUGAACUAUUUAUGAUGUAUCUUCAUCAUUUGUGCAUUACAUCGGGCAAAGGUGAUAAGUUUGGAUUCCUUUGCCCUCAUCACAUGACAGAGAAAGGUAAUACUCCAGAGUUAAGGGCCGCGUACCUCCAAUAGAGAAUAUGUGAAGUCAAAAAGGACGUUUUUAUGGCUCCAUAUGUGCACUCGGACCAUUGGCAGUUAUUUGUUCUUUCAAUGAAGAGCAACACUGUCGUCUUUUUAUGCUCCCUCCAUUACAAACUUGGGAAAGAAAUGAAGAAGACGAUAGACUUGGCAAUGAGAACAUAUCAAAAUGUAGUCUUACAAAAGCAUGGACAUGAGCUCAAGGAUCCCACAUGGAUUGAGCCAAAGAGUCAUAGACAACCGGUGAGGACGAACUUGUGCGGUCUAUAUGUCAUGAGGCACAUGCUCAAUAUUAUCACAUUAGGCAUGACCGAAUUUACAAAAGAGGUAAAUAUAUAUAUUUUUAAAAAUUUUAUUU